GGUGAAACAGGGGAAAGCAGGGGAAAACAGAGGAGUUCUGUUUUGCAUUUGCACUGUGAUGAUGGAUGGGUUUGCAAGAAAUGGACACAGUGAGUUUUUGUUGAUAUUGUUUGUUUCCUUAAGGUUCAGUUUAGAGUUUUAUUUAUGUUAUGGUGUGUGACAUGGAAAAGAAUAGUAUUUCAGAGAUGCAUACGUUGUGGAUUUGAUUAUUAUGGAUUUUUGUUGAUUUAUAGAAAAAUGUUAGUAUCAUGUUCAGUGAGAAAAAUUGUUCUAAUUUUCAGUAUCUGUGCAUAAACUUUAAUUCGGGUAACUCUCUUAUUGGGUUCUUAUAACUAACACAAAGGCACAAGUGAUAAGUUUGGAUGACUUUGCUUGCAGCAUUAUGCAAUGCACAAGUCAUAAUCAUUGUCUGAGCUAAAAAACGUGGUUUAUGGUUCAAAUGAUCCUGUUAGGAACUAGUCCACCAAUGAUAAGUUCUUUUCCUAGAACUAUAUAAUGAAAAUUUUCCAGCAUGCUCUAUAUAUUAUCGAGUUCGUGUUUGAAUGAAAUAUGCUACAACUCAUGUGGUAGAACAGGCUUGCUCAAUGUGUUGUUAUACUUUAACAUCAAAUUAUGCAAUCGAAAAAAUCAUCCCUGGAUAGCUCUUCUAGCCUUGACUGCAAAAACGUUGCAAGAAAGUUAGCAGAACAUCUUAUGUUUCCCGUUAAAAGCAUAAUGUAUUGUGUCAAUAUACAACCCUGGCAUGCUAUUAUGACUGACGGUAAAAUGGGAGUUUCCUUGUUGAUCUCGCUACGAAUGAAAUCAUAACUGAUGUAUUGUUGGAGAAUGACUGCUAAAACCCCCACUGCUGUGUUUUAUAUGUUAAUGCAGUUGAGACAGCAGUAGUUGUGUUGCUUGCUUCAUAACAGGAACUUUUUUUUUUGUUCAUGCAUGAAAUUCUGUAAUAUAUUCCAAGAAGCAUGAUCUUGUUCUUGAAUAUCGAAAUUUAAAUACUGGUUGAGAAUAAGCUUUUAGUGGAGGAAACUGGGGGCGGUGCCCAGGUUGCUUCAGCUUAGUUAAACAACAGCAGCAUCAACCUGCAGCGCAAGAAAUAUCAGCUCAAUUUCAAUCAUUUGUGGUUAACCAGUAUUUGGUUAAAGUUUUGAUAGAAUUUGUUCUGUUAUGUCAAUUGAGAAGGAUGCACCCCUUUCCCUGGUGAUUGAUAUCAUUAUCGAGCAAGGUAAUGAUCACAGCCUUACUAUAUGAGUAACCUUCUUCCAUUAACUAAUAUGACUAGAUACAGUACUCUUUUACAAUAACAUCACAAAAACUAGUGUUCCUUGAUCAUUUAUCUCUUGAAUUCAUGCUUGUAGUUUGGUCUCCAAGUUCGCUGCUAAAGCAAAUGAAAAUAGUAUCUGUUUUCAAUGCUGCAGUGUCAAGCAAGAUAAAUAGGGAAGUAGUGAUAAGGUCACUGUAAAGUUUUUGCAAAGCCAGGUCUCUUUCAGUCAAGGUAUGAAAUUCAAGCCUUUAGACUUGAAAGUAUAGCACAUGGAACAGGUGCAUCUGUUGAUGAACUACAGGUUGAAGGGGUUUCUAGUCAUAGCGAUUUGAGGAAGAUUUUCUCCACUUGCUUCUGAUUCUAGUGAAGACAGUAUUUUCCCUACAACAUUCAAGAAAGUUGAUAAAAUUCUCCACGAGAUGAAGGAAAAAGUUGGGUUAGGUGGUCCCAAUCCAAAAGAUUCAUCAUCACAUACUCGUACCAACGAAAAUGUGCAUCAUCAAGAAUAGAUGUUCCUGAUUAUGGAGAAGAAAAAAAACAAGGUUUCAAAUGGCUCAUACAAUGUAAAUGUUAUGGCUUCCGCUUGCUAAAUGGAACAAACAACAAUAUUCCUACACAAAGCUAUGUUGUUGCAGAGCUUAGACAGAUUGGUGGUGAUGACCAUGAUGUAGGACUAUUUGGCAUUUUUGAUGGCUUAAUGAACUAUCAAACACCUGCAUUCUUGCAGUCUUAUCUCUUUAAGAAUAUCAUAGCGGAGCCUGAAUGCUGGUUAUCCACUGCAUAUGCAGUGAGGAGAGGAUAUCUUAUAACCAACAAUAACCUUGUGGAGAGAGAUUUGAGGUCGAUAUCGGCUUCAAGUGCUGUUACGGCAAUAUUAAUGAACCACCAUGACGAGUGGAUGCUGGUGGUAGCCAAUGUCGGCAAUUCUCGUGCUAUUAUAUGUUGUAAGAAUGGUAUGGCUAAGCAACUAUCUGUAAAUCAUGAUCUUCUUAAUAAAAUGGAAAGAGGAGCACGUAAACACAGA